AUUAAUGCUGGCAAUAAAAGCCUUCGAACCAGGUCAGGACUGAAAAGUAGCAGCCUUAAGAAGUAACUUUUAUGUGCUAGCACUUUUUGUA
rnacentral:SRP_RNA from 1 species